rnacentral:lncRNA from 1 species
AUUUUUUAUAAUUAUAGAAGGAUUUGAAGUCAGUUGCACAAAUAUCAGACUGAAGAUGCCUGGCUUGAAAGCGGUUACUGCUGAUGCCUAAGGACAGUCUCAGUUUGUGGAGAAUCCUGUGCUUUCCAACCUUGACCUCACUUCGUUCUUACAGUAAACUUUGAUUCAUGUCCACCUUGCAACAAAUGUAUGAAGGUCAAAAGAAAAUAUAAGAUGGAUUUUUCUGCCCCAUCUGGCAGCUUCAGUUCAGCAGAAAUGAGAGCUAAACACAGCUGUGAAGACAGAAGGCUGAGGAGCAGCGUUCUGUUAACACUUGGGACAACUCUUAGCCAUUGUUCACAAUGACUCCCGCGAAUGGGACAGUGAAAGUCCUGUGGCCUUUAGCAUGGAAACAGCAUCACCAGCUGUCAAGGAUUUCUGAAUUUUAAGGGAACAAACAAAAUGAUUCAUGAGGUUGGGCAAAAUGGAAAAAUAUUAAUUUUCUUUGGGCUGGACAGAGAGAGAGGAAAGGGUUAAGCAUGAGUCGGAGAUUUCCAAAGCUAAGGGUGCCUUAAUUCCUAUAUAACAUUUUCUUUCUUUCUGUUAAUUAUCAUAUUUAGCAAAGUUUUCUCUGUUUCUUAAUUUUACUAAAUAUGGCAUUUAGAAUGACUGGCCCUUUUGGUGUUCCAUGAUUUAAAACUUCUAAGUUGUUAGGAGAUAUUUUUGUCUUUCUUAUUUAACAUUAUG